rnacentral:rRNA from 1 species
GAGUUUGAUCUUGGCUCAGAUUGAACGCUGGCGGCAGGCCUAACACAUGCAAGUCGGGCGGUAGAGAGAAGCUUGCUUCUCUUGAGAGCGGGCGGACGGGUGAGUAAUGCCUAGGAAUCUGCCUGGUAGUGGGGGAUAACGCUCGGAAACGGACGCUAAUACCGCAUACGUCCUACGGGAGAAAGCAGGGGACCUUCGGGCCUUGCGCUAUCAGAGUGAGCCUAGGUCGGAUUAGCUAGUUGGUGAGGUAAUGGCUCACCAAGGCGACGAUCCGUAACUGGUCUGAGAGGAUGAUCAGUCACACUGGAACUGAGACACGGUCCAGACUCCUACGGGAGGCAGCAGUGGGGAAUAUUGGACAAUGGGCGAAAGCCUGGAUCCAGCCAUGCCGCGUGUGUGAAGAAGGUCUUCGGAUUGUAAAGCAACUUUAAGUUGGGAGGAAGGGCAGUAAAUUAA